rnacentral:misc_RNA from 1 species
GAUUGGCCCUUUGUGGCCCUAUCAAAUCCACAUACCUCUGUGAACUGUUGGCCCUCGGGUCAUUUACAAAACAUUGUGUAAUGAACGUAUCAUAUAUAAACAUAAAACAACUUUCAACAACGGAUCUCUUGGCUCU